AACGAACGCUGGCGGCAGGCUUAACACAUGCAAGUCGAACGCCCCGCAAGGGGAGUGGCAGACGGGUGAGUAACGCGUGGGAAUCUACCCAGAACUUCGGAACAACUGAGGGAAACUUCAGCUAAUACCGGAUACGCCCUACGGGGAAAGAUUUAUCGGUUCUGGAUGAGCCCGCGUUGGAUUAGCUAGUUGGUGAGGUAAAGGCUCACCAAGGCGACGAUCCAUAGCUGGUCUGAGAGGAUGAUCAGCCACACUGGGACUGAGACACGGCCCAGACUCCUACGGGAGGCAGCAGUGGGGAAUAUUGGACAAUGGGCGAAAGCCUGAUCCAGCCAUGCCGCGUGAGUGAUGAAGGCCUUAGGGUUGUAAAGCUCUUUCGGACGGAAAGAAAUCGCGCAGGUAAAUAAUCUGCGUGGAUGACGGUACCGUAAGAAGAAGCACCGGCUAACUACGUG
rnacentral:rRNA from 1 species